UUUGAUGGGCCUAAAUACCCUAAAGGUGCCAAAUCCUGUUUGAUCUUGGAAGCUAAGCAAGGUAAGCCUUGAUUAGUACUUGAAUGGGAGACUGCCAACAAAUACCAGAUGCUAUAGGUA
rnacentral:rRNA from 1 species